GACGUAGGGCGCAAGCGUUGUCCGGAUUUAUUGGGCGUAAAGAGCUCGUAGGCGGCUUGUUGCGUCGUCCGUGAAAUCCCAUGGCUCAACUGUGGGCUUGCGGUCGAUACGGGCAGGCUGGAGUUCGGUAGGGGAGACUGGAAUUCCUGGUGUAGCGGUGAAAUGCGCAGAUAUCAGGAGGAACACCGGUGGCGAAGGCGGGUCUCUGGGCCGAUACUGACGCUGAGGAGCGAAAGCCAGGGGAGCAAACGGG
rnacentral:rRNA from 1 species